rnacentral:tRNA from 1 species
GGGGAUGUAGCUCAGUGGUAGAGUGCUUGCCUCGCAUGCGUGGGGCCUGGGUUCAGUCCCCAGCACCA